GCCGGCAGCUAGCUCUCUGCAACUCUCACAUGGUCGCCCACUGAAGCUAAGCAGGGCUGCGCCCGGUCAGUACCUGGAUGGGAGACCGCAUGGGAAAGCUAGGUUGCUGCCGGAA
rnacentral:rRNA from 1 species